rnacentral:rRNA from 1 species
GAUGAACGCUAGCUACAGGCUUAACACAUGCAAGUCGAGGGGAAACGAUGAGAGAGCUUGCUCUCUUAGGCGUCGACCGGCGCACGGGUGAGUAACGCGUAUCCAACCUACCCAUUACAGGGGGAUAACCUUGCGAAAGUAAGACUAAUACCCCAUGGCAUUUUAUGGUGGCAUCAUUAUAGGAUUAAAGAUUUAUUGGUAAUGGAUGGGGAUGCGUCUGAUUAGCUUGUUGGCGGGGUAACGGCCCACCAAGGCAACGAUCAGUAGGGGUUCUGAGAGGAAGGUCCCCCACAUUGGAACUGAGACACGGUCCAAACUCCUACGGGAGGCAGCAGUGAGGAAUAUUGGUCAAGGGGCGAGAGCUUGAACCAGCCAAGUAGCGUGCAGGAUGACGGCCCUAUGGGUUGUAAACUGCUUUUAUAGGGGAAUAAAGUGAGCUACGUGUAGUUUAUUGCAUGUACCCUAUGAAUAAGGACCGGCUAAUUCCGUG